UCCGGAGGGUGCACGCGUUAUCCGGAUUCACUGGGUUUAAAGGGUGCGUCGGCGGCUAGGUAAGUCCGCUGUGAAAGUCCAGGGCUCAACCCUGGGAUGCCGGUGGAUACUGUCGGGCUCGAGUCCGGAAGAGGAGUGUGGAAUUCCUGGUGUAGCGGUGAAAUGCGCAGAUAUCAGGAGGAACACCGAUGGCGAAGGCAGGUCUCUGGGCUGUAACUGACGCUGAGGAGCGAAAGCAUGGGGAGCGAACAGG
rnacentral:rRNA from 1 species